rnacentral:rRNA from 1 species
UACGUAGGGUGCAAGCGUUAAUCGGAAUUACUGGGCGUAAAGCGUGCGCAGGCGGUUUUGUAAGUCUGUCGUGAAAUCCCCCGGGCUCAACCUGGGAAUUGCGAUGGAGACUGCAAGGCUAGAAUCUGGCAGAGGGGGGUAGAAUUCCACGUGUAGCAGUGAAAUGCGUAGAGAUGUGGAGGAACACCGAUGGCGAAGGCAGCCCCCUGGGUCAAGAUUGA